GCCAUACCAUGCUGAAUAUACCGGUUCUCGUUAGAUCACCGAAGUCAAGCAUCAUUGGGCGCGGUCAGUACUUGGGUGGGUGACCACCUGGGAACACCGCGUGCCGUU